UACGUAGGUGGCAAGCGUUGUCCGGAUUUAUUGGGCGUAAAGGGUUCCUAGGCGGCUUAGCAAGUCGGGUGUGAAAACUCCAGGCUCAACCUGGAGACGCCAUUCGGUACUGCUAUGGCUAGAGUUCGGUAGGGGCGCAUGGAAAACCCGGUGUAGCGGUGAAAUGCUUAGAUAUCGGGUGGAACACCAGUGGCGAAGGCGGUGCGCUAGGCCGAAACUGACGCUGAAGAACGAAAGCGUGGGUAGCAAACAGG
rnacentral:rRNA from 1 species